AAUAAAUCGACUGAAAAUAUCAAAAUCCCAAAAUACUUUCAAUACAGGAUGAAACAAUGUGAACGAAGUUAAAUAAUGGAAGUAUAACACAAAAUCAAAGUGCACAUCCGAAAAAAAAAAGAACAAUAGCAAAAAAUCUUUGAGUGCAAAAGGUUAAAUUCAAAUGGACAUUUUCAAAAAGGUGCAAUCUCUGCGAGUAUAAUGCUCGCUUGAAUUAUAUAAAAAGACAGUGGGGAACUUAUUAUUAAUGGAGUGUAUUAAUUGAAGAGCUUGGAAGAUUGACUGAUGGAAUCGUUGUGUUCUUUAAGCUUUAAAUGACGCACGCAACUAUAUAGAAUUUAGGAUCUAUCUGUAUAUUAGUUACGAGUCAGAGAAUUAUAAAAUAUGUUUGUUUAAUAGUU